AGUUGAGGUUGGGCUUCACCAGACAAGUUCAAAGUCGAAGUUGAGCUGGGCCAAUCAGACUCCGCCCCCAAGAGAGAAACAGACACCAUCUCUGUUUGUCAAGACCGUCUGAAAGCACUAGGGAUGGUUGGUGAGGUGGAAAAGAAAAAGGAUGCAAUAACUAUUCAAAUAUUGAGGAAGAGAAGUCAGACCCAUGGUCCCAAGGAGGAGGACCAAGUUCACUGAAGUUGGACUUCAUUUUCCACACAAGGAUGCUCUUUGCAGCAGGCAAAAUUGUCAAAGAUAGACUGAGAUGCUUCAUGGGGAAAUAUGCCCUUUUGGGUGGAAAAGUUGGAAUGAUUUGUGCAGCAUUUUGAAAGGAAUCCAAGCAUUGGAUAUGUGGUUGAGCAAGGUGUCAGUCAUACCCUCUUAUGGUCCAUACUAAUAGUAAACCAUGUAAUAACUAACAUUAACUGAGCACUUAUUAUUGGCUGGGAACAUGGUGCUCCAUGCUUUAUCUGAGCUACCUAAUUCAAUCCAUACAAUAAUGCUAUGAGAUAGUAACUAUGAUUACUACCAUCUCGGGGGUGAGAAAAUGGGCUCAGGAAGGUGAAGAAUGUGUCCAAAAUCAUGGAAUGAAGAAAUUUAGUGUGACUACAUAGCACAGUAUGAUUGGAAACCCAAAACCCUCCCGAGGACAUGAAGUCACCCUUCCAUUUCAAGUCACUGUAUUCUAUUUUGCGAGUGCCAUAGCUACCUUCAGUUUAGAGGCCUCCUUUUCAAAUGAAACCACUUAAUUGAACAGGGAGGAGCCAAGAUCCUUGGGUCUGGGACUGAUGGGGAAGAGGGAAGGCACAGAAUUGAGGGUGCUCAGAGGACCCACACCUGGGAUGUUGAGCGCAGGUGAAACACUUGGGAAUGAGGCUCAACAAACAGCAAUGGCUUCCCAUAGAAGCUUCAGGCAUGGAGACAGACUGAUCACCUCCACCUGAUCUAGCCAAAGUCACCUGCUACAUUCCCUGGUCAAGGCAGAGAGAUCUUAGGAGGAGAGAAAAUAAAAUAAAAUGAGACUUGGGGUGGAAAGACGGUGCAUACCCCUUCCAGCUCCAGCUCUGGGCUCUUGAGACUUCAACGCUGGUGUUCUGUCACCUGUCACCUUCAGCUGGACACUUUAAUCUGCCCAGAUCUUUUGCUGCGGAGCCUACUAUGCAAAGAUCUUCCAAUCAGAUGGUGCUAUGAAUCAGGGCUGUCCCAAGGAACUUGCCGGAAGAAAUGAACGAUAAGAUUUCUGCCUCUGGUGACCUGCAUUGAGCUCCUGACAGCUGGACAGAGGAAAGCACAGCGUGUUGGCAGAGGCGGUGCCUGUCAGCAGGGUGAGCAACUUGUAACACCACACACUGCCCACCAUGAUGUGCUUCCCAAGGAAAUAGGACCAUCCAAUCAUGGACUGAAACCUCUAAAACUGGAAAAUUCAUACACUUGUCAGAACCUGAGGACGGGUCCAAGAGACAAAGGAAAUGCUGAACCCAGCAAGAAUUCUGCAGCUGACCCUCGGCCAGCAGUGGAGGAGGUCUUCAAAGCAUGGGGUGUCAGAGGGGAGCAUCUUGCAAUGAGAUCGGGUUUCUUACACAACCACGAGAGGACCCUGAACAGUUCCUGAAAGUCUCAUCAGUCAGUAAAAAGUACUUUACACUGAGCAGAAGCCACAGCUUAAAGGUACAAGGACUAACUGUGGUGACUUCUCCUUAGUCUCCUGAGGGGCUCUUUUUAUCCCCAGUAGAUACAGACGUGGAAAGACACUGGCCAGGGAAUGAGUGGUCGAAGAAUAAAUGAACUGCACAGAGAAGCUGAAGCCAGAAGCUGACCUUUGUUCUUUGUUUCAUUGUUAAACCACCCAAUUGUUUUAUAGUUGUUCUUUGCUGACCCUUGGCCUCCUUGGCUGGUGGUGUCACCUCCCUCCUUUCUCCUAUCCAGCCCCAUUCUGCAUUCCUGAAUUUAUUUGUGGGUGGAUUCACUCCACCUUGGAAAUGGGGUGACACCCUUGCUCCUUGGGUGUAGCCUUGGGACUACCUGCAAAAAAAAAAAACCAAACAAAAAAAACCCUUCCUUUUCCUGUGUCCCACACUCCUGGCACUUCCUGAAUCGGUGACCUCUGGGCCCUUCUUGAGCCUGUCCAACCUCUACAGGGAGAAGGGUUCCUUUCUGCACGUUUCUGCUGAUCCCGAGUCCUGCAGCCUACGCUGACACAGAUUUCACACACAUGGAGAGACUCCGUUAGUUGGCAAACCGUAGGCGAUCAUUUAUUCACUUCUCGGCUUGUAAUCUAUUUGUGACUGUGGCUUAUUUUUGCCCAUUUUUAUGUGUUUUUUUUUUUUCCAUUCGUUGGCUUAACAGGGGAUGAGCAAACAGAACUCAAACAAGCACCAUCCAUUUUGUCAUUAGGACAUGUGAAAGGCAGAGUUGGGGAGGAGGUGGGAGCUCCUGGAACAUGAGACUAGAGGAGAAGCUGUGGGCUGUCACGCACGGCUGAGACUCCACUCGGUCUGCGUAAUCGUGGGCUGAGAGCCAGACUUCUGGCCCCCAAAGAUGUCCAGAUGUCAAGGAUUGAGAGGCACCUGGGAAUCCCCAGCCCUCUGAUCCGGGAGGGCAGCCGGGACCCUUCUCCCCUUGGUCACCCUGGUUUUCCCAGGCUGUUGUGGGAGAUGGAUCUGCCUUGCUCCACUGGGUGUGCUGGGUAUCUGCUUAACGGCCCCCCAGACAACAGUCUCGGCCCUUGGAAGUGGAAAGUACGGUGCCUGAAAGCUGAGAACCAGAGACUUCUCUUAGAAAAGAGGGAGCGCACCCUGCACCUGACCUGAAGCUGGAUGGGUCUCCUCGGUGUCCUCCAGCAGUGGGCACACACCUUUGGUCAUAGUAAGAGCCGGAUACGAGGUGACAACCACAGCAGCCACUGAGUGUGUUCAUGGGGGGGACCUGUCCCCCAGAGCGGCCUGGUCCAAGCACAGGACCGUUCCCUACACCAACGAAUUACAGAUGAAGUCCUUUGUUGAUGGGGAGAGCUGCGUCUUCAGGGAGCUGAGGGGUAGCUUGAAAAAACUGGUUUCCUUUCCGCUUC